GGUUAAGCGACUAAGCGUACACGGUGGAUGCCCUGGCAGUCAGAGGCGAUGAAGGACGUGCUAAUCUGCGAUAAGCGUCGGUAAGGUGAUAUGAACCGUUAUAACCGGCGAUUUCCGAAUGGGGAAACCCAGUGUGUUUCGACACACUAUCAUUAACUGAAUCCAUAGGUUAAUGAGGCGAACCGGGGGAACUGAAACAUCUAAGUACCCCGAGGAAAAGAAAUCAACCGAGAUUCCCCCAGUAGCGGCGAGCGAACGGGGAGCAGCCCAGAGCCUGAAUCAGUGUGUGUGUUAGUGGAAGUGUCUGGAAAGGCGCGCGAUACAGGGUGACAGCCCCGUACACAAAAAUGCACAUGCUGUGAGCUCGAUGAGUAGGGCGGGACACGUGGUAUCCUGUCUGAAUAUGGGGGGACCAUCCUCCAAGGCUAAAUACUCCUGACUGACCGAUAGUGAACCAGUACCGUGAGGGAAAGGCGAAAAGAACCCCGGCGAGGGGAGUGAAAAAGAACCUGAAACCGUGUACGUACAAGCAGUGGGAGCCCUGAUUUAUCAGGGUGACUGCGUACCUUUUGUAUAAUGGGUCAGCGACUUAUAUUCUGUAGCAAGGUUAACCGAAUAGGGGAGCCGGAGGGAAACCGAGUCUUAACUGGGCGUUAAGUUGCAGGGUAUAGACCCGAAACCCGGUGAUCUAGCCAUGGGCAGGUUGAAGGUUGGGUAACACUAACUGGAGGACCGAACCGACUAAUGUUGAAAAAUUAGCGGAUGACUUGUGGCUGGGGGUGAAAGGCCAAUCAAACCGGGAGAUAGCUGGUUCUCCCCGAAAGCUAUUUAGGUAGCGCCUCGUGAAUUCAUCUCCGGGGGUAGAGCACUGUUUCGGCAAGGGGGUCAUCCCGACUUACCAACCCGAUGCAAACUGCGAAUACCGGAGAAUGUUAUCACGGGAGACACACGGCGGGUGCUAACGUCCGUCGUGAAGAGGGAAACAACCCAGACCGCCAGCUAAGGUCCCAAAGUCAUGGUUAAGUGGGAAACGAUGUGGGAAGGCCCAGACAGCCAGGAUGUUGGCUUAGAAGCAGCCAUCAUUUAAAGAAAGCGUAAUAGCUCACUGGUCGAGUCGGCCUGCGCGGAAGAUGUAACGGGGCUAAACCAUGCACCGAAGCUGCGGCAGCGACACUGUGUGUUGUUGGGUAGGGGAGCGUUCUGUAAGCCUGUGAAGGUGUGCUGUGAGGCAUGCUGGAGGUAUCAGAAGUGCGAAUGCUGACAUAAGUAACGAUAAAGCGGGUGAAAAGCCCGCUCGCCGGAAGACCAAGGGUUCCUGUCCAACGUUAAUCGGGGCAGGGUGAGUCGACCCCUAAGGCGAGGCCGAAAGGCGUAGUCGAUGGGAAACAGGUUAAUAUUCCUGUACUUGGUGUUACUGCGAAGGGGGGACGGAGAAGGCUAUGUUGGCCGGGCGACGGUUGUCCCGGUUUAAGCGUGUAGGCUGGUUUUCCAGGCAAAUCCGGAGAAUCAAGGCUGAGGCGUGAUGACGAGGCACUACGGUGCUGAAGCAACAAAUGCCCUGCUUCCAGGAAAAGCCUCUAAGCAUCAGGUAACAUCAAAUCGUACCCCAAACCGACACAGGUGGUCAGGUAGAGAAUACCAAGGCGCUUGAGAGAACUCGGGUGAAGGAACUAGGCAAAAUGGUGCCGUAACUUCGGGAGAAGGCACGCUGAUAUGUAGGUGAAGCGACUUGCUCGUGGAGCUGAAAUCAGUCGAAGAUACCAGCUGGCUGCAACUGUUUAUUAAAAACACAGCACUGUGCAAACACGAAAGUGGACGUAUACGGUGUGACGCCUGCCCGGUGCCGGAAGGUUAAUUGAUGGGGUCAGCGCAAGCGAAGCUCUUGAUCGAAGCCCCGGUAAACGGCGGCCGUAACUAUAACGGUCCUAAGGUAGCGAAAUUCCUUGUCGGGUAAGUUCCGACCUGCACGAAUGGCGUAAUGAUGGCCAGGCUGUCUCCACCCGAGACUCAGUGAAAUUGAACUCGCUGUGAAGAUGCAGUGUACCCGCGGCAAGACGGAAAGACCCCGUGAACCUUUACUAUAGCUUGACACUGAACACUGGUCCUUGAUGUGUAGGAUAGGUGGGAGGCUUUGAAGUGUGGACGCCAGUCUGCAUGGAGCCGUCCUUGAAAUACCACCCUUUAAUGGCUGGUGUUCUAACGUUGGCCCCUUACCGGGGUUGCGGACAGUGUCUGGUGGGUAGUUUGACUGGGGCGGUCUCCUCCUAAAGAGUAACGGAGGAGCACGAAGGUUGGCUAAUCCUGGUCGGACAUCAGGAGGUUAGUGCAAUGGCAUAAGCCAGCUUGACUGCGAGCGUGACGGCGCGAGCAGGUGCGAAAGCAGGUCAUAGUGAUCCGGUGGUUCUGAAUGGAAGGGCCAUCGCUCAACGGAUAAAAGGUACUCCGGGGAUAACAGGCUGAUACCGCCCAAGAGUUCAUAUCGACGGCGGUGUUUGGCACCUCGAUGUCGGCUCAUCACAUCCUGGGGCUGAAGUAGGUCCCAAGGGUAUGGCUGUUCGCCAUUUAAAGUGGUACGCGAGCUGGGUUUAGAACGUCGUGAGACAGUUCGGUCCCUAUCUGCCGUGGGCGCUGGAGAACUGAGGGGGGCUGCUCCUAGUACGAGAGGACCGGAGUGGACGCAUCACUGGUGUUCGGGUUGUCAUGCCAAUGGCACUGCCCGGUAGCUAAAUGCGGAAGAGAUAAGUGCUGAAAGCAUCUAAGCACGAAACUUGCCCCGAGAUGAGUUCUCCCUGAGACCUGGAGUCUCCUGAAGGAACGUUGAAGACGACGACGUUGAUAGGCCGGGUGUGUAAGCGCAGCGAUGCGUUGAGCUAACCGGUACUAAUGAACCGUGAGGCUUAACCUU
rnacentral:rRNA from 1 species